UACGUAGGUGACAAGCGUUGUCCGGAUUUACUGGGCGUAAAGAGCGCGCAGGCGGUCGAUCAAGUCGAGUGUGAAAGCCCCCGGCUCAACUGGGGAGGGUCAUUCGAUACUGAUCGACUCGAAGGCAGGAGAGGGUAGUGGAAUUCCCGGUGUAGUGGUGAAAUGCGUAGAUAUCGGGAGGAACACCAGUGGCGAAGGCGGCGAUCUGGGUCGAUACUGACGCUGAGGUGCGAAAGCGUGGGGAGCGAAUGGG
rnacentral:rRNA from 1 species